rnacentral:miRNA from 1 species
UGUCUGCAGGUCAUUGGGUAAUUUUGGUAGUUAAUAAUUACUUACUGUAGGGCUGGAGAGAUGGCUCAGCUGUUAAAGGCUAGGCUUACAACCAAAAUA